UUCCUGUUGAAUCUUGAAGUCAAAGGUCUUUUUCCUAGCAAUCAAUCAAUAAUAAAUUAUUAUGUAGCAACUAGAAAUAUUUACUUUUUAGUGCUACGCUCCUGUUUAUGAACCAGGGAGUGAAAUGGUACAUUUCCCACAGUUCCUGCAUCUGCUGAAUAGGAGAAACAUUUUAGGCUUAAGCUAUAGAUUAAACCACUGUAUAUUUUUGAUAGAUUUUGUUCUGCUGGAGAGUCUAACACCUAUUUGCAAUGACAGGUGAUGGAAAAUAUGUGGUUUCCUUAAGUAACUCUUGAAGCAAUGUUCCGAAUCUUUGGUUGUGCUACACACUUAUAUCACUUCUUUCCCUGUCUGAUACAUUUGUCAUUAUUAAAUUCUGGAAGGACUUUAAGGUAGUAAGGUACAUUGUUCCCCUGCUGAAAUGGGAAAAUCAAGGCAGAGAGAGACAAGGCAUUUCAAGAUAUUCAUAAUUUCAGCAAGAAAAAGAACUGCAGAAUCUGAGUGCUUUGGGUUCUACCUUCCCUCAUCCUUAAACAACAAACAAAUAAAAGAAGAACAUUAAGUAAAUGCAGUUUCCAAAAGCAAGAAACUCCAGGUAAACACUUGGUUAUUUUUGCCUAUAGAUCCGGAAAUCGAAUGAUCUGUGACAGGCAGGUUGGCAACUUUGCUAUGGAAUCUAAAGCUGCAGGUCUGAAAGGAAGAAUGAGUUCAGCAAGAAAAAACGCUCAUGUUGCUGGUAGAGCUGAGAGCAGGCCACACAAAUUAUCAGUACAGGACUUAAUCCAGCGAGGUGCUGAAAGUCCUGAGACAGAACCAGUAAAACACUUCAAACGCUAUUCAACAAACUCCGUUGGAGCAUAUAAAUAGCCAGCGUGACUUCAAGCUGACUACCUAAAAUACGUAUCAGUAUCUUGCACUAUGGGGGCCAAACUGGCUAGUCUCUUUCAAGAUAGAAACUAUCAAGAGAAAAAUGGAAACCACGUCAAGGGUGGCUGUGAGACCUUUCUGCAGUUUGAGUUUCUUCACUGAGAGAUGAAGUGCUUAUCACAUUUAAGGACUGGGUUCUGGAAGGAAAAAAGUGCCUAUUUUUUAUUGGAAAUAUGAGGCUGUAUUGCCAUCGCUUUCACUGGGAUACAAAAUGAGAGAGAUGACGAAAACGAUAACUUAGGCAAAAUCUGAAGAGCAAGAGUAUCAGUGGAAUUUUCACAGAAGGACAGAAGUCCCCUUAGGACACAGGGGGACUAAUUGUUCUCAAAUACGAAUACGCUUUUCCAAAUAAAAUUGAAGGAGUUGUCUUUGUACA
rnacentral:lncRNA from 1 species